rnacentral:vault_RNA from 1 species
UGGCUGGCUAAGUCAAGUGGAUACUUCGCAAUUUUAAUAAAGUAUGACUGACUUUAAUUCAAAUCCCUCUAGUUCCACUAACGCAAUCCAGCCUUUUU